GCGUAGUCGAUGGGAAACGGGUUAAUAUUCCCGUACUUCUUACAAUUGCGAUGGGGGGACGGAGAAGGCUAGGUGGGCCUGGCGACGGUUGUCCAGGUUCAAGUGCGUAGGCUGAGUGUUUAGGUAAAUCCGGAUACUCUUAAGGCUGAGACACGACGUCGAGCUACUACGGUAGUGAAGUCAUUGAUGCCAUGCUUCCAGGAAAAGCCUCUAAGCUUCAGAUUGUAAGGAAUCGUACCCCAAACCGACACAGGUGGUCGGGUAGAGAAUACCAAGGCGCUUGAGAGAACUCGGGUGAAGGAACUAGGCAAAAUGGUACCGUAACUUCGGGAGAAGGUACGCUCUUGAUGGUGAAGUCCCUUGCGGAUGGAGCUGACGAGAGUCGCAGAUACCAGGUGGCUGCAACUGUUUAUUAAAAACACAGCACUGUGCAAAAUCGUAAGAUGACGUAUACGGUGUGACGCCUGCCCGGUGCCGGAAGGUUAAUUGAUGGGGUUAGCGUAAGCGAAGCUCUUGAUCGAAGCCCCGGUAAACGGCGGCCGUAACUAUAACGGUCCUAAGGUAGCGAAAUUCCUUGUCGGGUAAGUUCCGACCUGCACGAAUGGCGUAAUGAUGGCCACGCUGUCUCCACCCGAGACUCAGUGAAAUUGAAAUCGCUGUGAAGAUGCAGUGUACCCGCGGCUAGACGGAAAGACCCCGUGAACCUUUACUACAGCUUGGCACUGAACAUUGAACCUACAUGUGUAGGAUAGGUGGGAGGCUUUGAAGACGUGACGCCAGUUGCGUUGGAGCCGUCCUUGAAAUACCACCCUUGUAUGUUUGAUGUUCUAACGUUGGCCCCUAAUCGGGGUUGCGGACAGUGCCUGGUGGGUAGUUUGACUGGGGCGGUCUCCUCCCAAAGAGUAACGGAGGAGCACGAAGGUGGGCUAAUCACGGUUGGACAUCGUGAGGUUAGUGCAAUGGCAUAAGCCCGCUUAACUGCGAGAAUGACGGUUCGAGCAGGUGCGAAAGCAGGUCAUAGUGAUCCGGUGGUUCUGAAUGGAAGGGCCAUCGCUCAACGGAUAAAAGGUACUCCGGGGAUAACAGGCUGAUACCGCCCAAGAGUUCAUAUCGACGGCGGUGUUUGGCACCUCGAUGUCGGCUCAUCACAUCCUGGGGCUGAAGUCGGUCCCAAGGGUAUGGCUGUUCGCCAUUUAAAGUGGUACGCGAGCUGGGUUUAGAACGUCGUGAGACAGUUCGGUCCCUAUCUGCCGUGGGCGUUGGAAGAUUGAAGGGGGCUGCUCCUAGUACGAGAGGACCGGAGUGGACGAACCUCUGGUGUUCGGGUUGUGUCGCCAGACGCAUUGCCCGGUAGCUAAGUUCGGAAUCGAUAACCGCUGAAAGCAUCUAAGCGGGAAGCGAGCCCUGAGAUGAGUCUUCCCUGAUACUUUAAGUAUCCUAAAGGGUUGUUCGAGACUAGAACGUUGAUAGGCAGGGUGUGUAAGCGCUGUGAGGCGUUGAGCUAACCUGUACUAAUUGCCCGUGAGGCUUAACCAU
rnacentral:rRNA from 1 species